UACGAAGGGGGCUAGCGUUGUUCGGAAUCACUGGGCGUAAAGCGUGCGCAGGCGGCUUCUCAAGUCAGGCGUGAAAGCCCAGAGCUCAACUCUGGAAUUGCCUUUGAGACUGAGUGGCUUGAGUACGAGAGAGGUGAGUGGAAUUCCCAGUGUAGAGGUGAAAUUCGUAGAUAUUGGGAAGAACACCGGUGGCGAAGGCGGCUCACUGGCUCGUAACUGACGCUCAUGCACGACAGCGUGGGGAUCAAACAGG
rnacentral:rRNA from 1 species